UACAGAGGGGGCAAGCGUUGUUCGGAAUUACUGGGCGUAAAGGGCGCGUAGGCGGCCUUCUAAGUCGAACGUGAAAUCCCCGGGCUCAACCCGGGAACUGCGUCCGAUACUGGAAGGCUUGAAUCCGGGAGAGGGAUGCGGAAUUCCAGGUGUAGCGGUGAAAUGCGUAGAUAUCUGGAGGAACACCGGUGGCGAAGGCGGCAUCGUGGACCGGCAUUGACGCUGAGGCGCGAAAGCCAGGGGAGCAAACGGG
rnacentral:rRNA from 1 species